GACGAACGCUGGCGGCGUGCCUAAUACAUGCAAGUAGAACGCUGAAGAGAGGAGCUUACUCUUCUUGGAUGAGUUGCGAACGGGUGAGUAACGCGUAGGUAACCUGCCUUGUAGCGGGGGAUAACUAUUGGAAACGAUAGCUAAUACCGCAUAACAAUGGAUGACACAUGUCAUUUAUUUGAAAGGGGCAAUUGCUCCACUACAAGAUGGACCUGCGUUGUAUUAGCUAGUAGGUGAGGUAAUGGCUCACCUAGGCGACGAUACAUAGCCGACCUGAGAGGGUGAUCGGCCAGACUGGGACUGAGACACGGCCCAGACUCCUACGGGAGGCAGCAGUAGGGAAUCUUCGGCAAUGGGGGCAACCCUGACCGAGCAACGCCGCGUGAGUGAAGAAGGGUUUCGGAUCGGAAAGCUCUGUUGUAAGUCAAGAACGGGUGUGAGAGUGGAAAGUUCACACUGUGACGGUAGCUUACCAGAAAGGGACGGCUAACUACGUG
rnacentral:rRNA from 1 species